rnacentral:rRNA from 1 species
GUGCCAGCAGCCGCGGUAAUACGGAGGGUGCGAGCGUUAAUCGGAAUUACUGGGCGUAAAGCGUACGCAGGCGGUUUGUUAAGCGAGAUGUGAAAGCCCCGGGCUCAACCUGGGAACUGCAUUUCGAACUGGCAAACUAGAGUGUGAUAGAGGGUGGUAGAAUUUCAGGUGUAGCGGUGAAAUGCGUAGAGAUCUGAAGGAAUACCGAUGGCGAAGGCAGCCACCUGGGUCAACACUGACGCUCAUGUACGAAAGCGUGGGGAGCAAACAGGAUUAGAUACCCUGGUAGUUC